rnacentral:rRNA from 1 species
UUCCAUUAGGAUUUAAAAUCUCUGCAGUUGAUAUUAUCUAAUCUCAAAAACUAAGCAUUUAGUCUGGUAAGUAUUUGGAUGGAAGACCACAUGGGAAUGCCAGAUUUUGUUGUAG